rnacentral:rRNA from 1 species
AGAUUGAACGCUAGCGGGAUGCUUUACACAUGCAAGUCGAACGGCAGCGCGGACUUCGGUCUGGCGGCGAGUGGCGAACGGGUGAGUAAUAUAUCGGAACGUGCCCAGUAGCGGGGGAUAACUACGCGAAAGCGUGGCUAAUACCGCAUACGCCCGUACGGGGGGAAAGGGGGGGAUCGCAAGACCUCUCACUAUUGGAGCGGCCGAUAUCAGAUUAGCUAGUUGUGAGGUAAGCUCACAGGCGACGAUCUGUAGCUUGGUUUGAGAGGACGACCAGCCACACGUGGACUGAGACGACGGCCCAGACUCCGACGGGAGCAGGCAGGUGGGAAUGUUAGGACAGUGGCG